rnacentral:rRNA from 1 species
CAGCCGCCACGGGAAUACGUAGGGUGCAAGCGUUAAUCGGAAUUACUGGGCGUAAAGCGUGCGCAGGCGGUUAUAUAAGACAGAUGUGAAAUCCCCGGGCUCAACCUGGGAACUGCAUUUGUGACUGUAUAGCUAGAGUACGGCAGAGGGGGAUGGAAUUCCGCGUGUAGCAGUGAAAUGCGUAGAUAUGCGGAGGAACACCGAUGGCGAAGGAAAUCCCCUGGGCCUGUACUGACGCUCAUGCACGAAAGCGUGGGGAGCAAACAGGAUUAGAUACCCGCGUAGUCCCUGUCUCUUAUAC